GAUUAUUUGUUCUGGGAGAUAGGUCAAUACUAAGUGGGCUGGAUAAGCACAUAAGACGCUGGGUUCAGGGUAGUUUAAUGACAGCCAGACAGAUUAUUUUAAGGGGAUGAAAGAAUGAAGGGGUGCUGUCAAUCCAGUAGUGGGCUUGUGAGAUGGCUAGGUUGGCGGCAUUUGAAAAAAUGUCAUAUAAACGGUUUGCCAGAUUGGAUGUUUACACUAGAAGAUGG